AAUAUUAUGCCUGAUUAAAGGAGUAAAUUGUAAAUUUAUAAAUGAAAUUGAUUUUUCUAAUAUUA
rnacentral:tRNA from 1 species